rnacentral:rRNA from 1 species
AACGAACGCUGGCGGCAGGCCUAACACAUGCAAGUCGAGCGAGGACUUCGGUCCUAGCGGCGGACGGGUGAGUAACGCGUGGGAACGUGCCCUUUGCUUCGGAAUAGCCCUGGGAAACUGGGAGUAAUACCGGAUGAGCCCUUUGGGGGAAAGAUUUAUCGGCGAAGGAUCGGCCCGCGUUGGAUUAGGUAGUUGGUGGGGUAAUGGCCUACCAAGCCGACGAUCCAUAGCUGGCUUGAGAGGAUGAUCAGCCACACUGGGACUGAGACACGGCCCAGACUCCUACGGGAGGCAGCAGUGGGGAAUCUUAGACAAUGGGGGAAACCCUGAUCUAGCCAUGCCGCGUGAGCGAUGAAGGCCUUAGGGUUGUAAAGCUCUUUCAGCUGGGAAGAUAAUGACGGUACCAGCAGAAGAAGCCCCGGCUAACUCCGUG